GAGAGCCUACUUCGGAAGAGCAAAUUGCAUGGCGUCAAGCUGAAAAUGAUGUUGCUCAACAAGAGAGAGAUGCCGAAACCCGUAAACUGAUCCUUCUCACAAUGGAGCAAUCUCGUCAGCAAAGUGAAGCCAUGAUUUCCCAAAUGAAAACUCAAACGGAAGAGUUUCAACGGAUAGUUCAAGAACUGAAAGAUGAUGCGGAUGAAAGAAGAAACCGGGCUCAAACCAGCUUGGACAAUUCGGAGUAUGAAACCCUGGUACAACAACGUCAAAAACUGAUCGAAAAUUCUGAAAAAAGCCAGCAGGAAACCAAGGAGCAAUUGGAAAAAAUCGUGGAGCUGCAAAGAAAAUCUUGUGAUCAAAACAAAGAAAAAUUCACAGCUCUGGAAUUGCAGUUGCAAGAAACUAAUGAGAGAAUGCAGAAACAAUUAGAUGAAUUAAACGCCAAGUUUGAGGAUGUGAACAGGAAAUUGCAAAAGGCAAGUGAUUGUAACGCUGACACGGAAAAAGAAAAUGAAGAAGGAGUCAGUGAUAAUGGAACCGAUGAUUCCUGGGAUGUUGUCACUGUGCAAAGAUCGAGUCUUUGAGAUUUUUCUGGAAAAUAUUUCUAAAUUUCGGAAUAAAUAUAUUUAUUGAACAUGUUUAGAUGGAUCCUGUACAAAAAUAAAAUUAAUAUUUUGCA
rnacentral:misc_RNA from 1 species